GUGGGGAAUCUUGCGCAAUGGGCGAAAGCCUGACGCAGCCAUGCCGCGUGAAUGAUGAAGGUCUUAGGAUUGUAAAAUUCUUUCACCGGGGACGAUAAUGACGGUACCCGGAGAAGAAGCCCCGGCUAACUUCGUGCCAGCAGCCGCGGUAAUACGAAGGGGGCUAGCGUUGCUCGGAAUUACUGGGCGUAAAGGGCGCGUAGGCGGACAGUUUAGUAAGAGGUGAAAGCCCAGGGCUCAACCUUGGAAUUGCCUUUGAUACUGGCUGUCUUGAGUACGGGAGAGGUGAGUGGAACUCCGAGUGUAGAGGUGAAAUUCGUAGAUAUUCGGAAGAACACCAGUGGCGAAGGCGACUCACUGGCCCGUUACUGACGCUGAGGCGCGAAAGCGUGGGGAGCAAACAGGAUUAGAUACCCGAGUAGUCC
rnacentral:rRNA from 1 species